rnacentral:tRNA from 1 species
GAGGGUAUAGCUCAGUGGUGGAGUGCAUGCUUAGCAUGCACAGAGUCCUGGGUUCAAUCCUUAGUACCUCUA